rnacentral:rRNA from 1 species
AGGACGAACGCUGGCGGCGUGCUUAACACAUGCAAGUCGAGCGGAAAGGCCCUUCGGGGUACUCGAGCGGCGAACGGGUGAGUAACACGUGAGUAAUCUGCCCCUAGCUCUGGGAUAGCUCCGGGAAAACCGGGAUUAAUACCGGAUACGACCACCUUAGACAUCUUUUGUGGUGGAAAGAAUUUCGGCUAGGGAUGAGCUCGCGGCCUAUCAGCUUGUUGGUGGGGUAACGGCCUACCAAGGCGACGACGGGUAGCCGGCCUGAGAGGGCGACCGGCCACACUGGGACUGAGACACGGCCCAGACUCCUACGGGAGGCAGCAGUGGGAAUAUUGCGCAAUGGGCGAAAGCCUGACGCAGCGACGCCGCGUGGGGGAUGAAGGCCUUCGGGUUGUAAACCCCUUUCAGCAGGGACGAAGCGAAAGUGACGGUACCUGCAGAAGAAGCGCCGGCUAACUACGUGCCAGCAGCCGC